UGCCCACCAGUGUCUCCAUCCCUGGGAGGAGUCCCAACAGGCUUCUCUUCCUCUGGCAGAUGCUUUAAGUUUAGCAAUGAAUCUCUUUCAUAUAUAGUCUAGGCUUUUUUCAAAUUGGUGCUUUUGCCCUGGGUUUGGGGCCAAGUGAGUCUGUAUGCAAGCCCUUUAAGAGCAGGAUCUCCAUUCCCCACAUCUUUUUGGUUCUCUUGAAUAUAGGUCCUGUUGGUUUUCAAAGCCUGUUUUUUAGGGGACUUCUCUCUUCAGUGCAGGUCUCAAGGUUUAGGGUGCUUGAUGUGGGGCAUAAACAUCUCACUGCUCAGAGAGAUGCUCAGUAUUUAUGAGAUUUCCCCCUGCUUGCAUAUUGCAGUGCAUUGGGUGGGGCUUUUGGUUUUUGGUGAACCCGUGUCUCUGCCUUCCCUACCCAUAUCAGUGUGUCACUUUUUUUUUUUUUUUGUCUUUUUAGGGCCACACCCACAGUAUAUGGAGGUUCCCAGGAUAGAGGUCAAAUAAGAACUGUAGCUGCCAGCCUACACCACAGCCACAGCAACACCAGAUCCAAGCUGCAUAUACAACCUACACCACAGCUCACAGCAAUGCCAGAACCUCAGGGAUUGAACCCGCAUCCUCAUGGAUACUAGUCAGGUUUGUUAACAGCUGAGCUACAAUGCGAACUUUACAAUGUGACACUUUUAUUUUUGUUGUGGAGUUGAUGUUCAGUUCUCAGGUUUUUUUCAGUGGGAAUUUUUCCAUAUGUAGCUGUGGAUUUGUUGUGUCUGUAGGAGGAGGUGAGUUCAGGAUCCUCCCAUACCACCAUCUUGAACUAUCUCCUCCUGCAUGUAUUUUCUUUUCAAAGCCUUCUGACAACCAAUUCUCUGUCUCCCUAUUUUUCUCCCUCUCUCCAUAUUUACUUUUGUUGGGGACAAAGUAGGUGCCAAUGGGAGGCAGUAAAAAUGAGUAAUGGGAUGAAUGCAGUCCAAUGUACAUUUAAAGGUAAAAAAGAAAAUCUCUUGAACAAUGAGAGGCCUUAGGCACUGAAAAUCUCCUUGCUUGGUAUAUUUAAAAUGCCACCUAACAAAGCACUAGAAAAUAACUGCCAAGCGAGACUGCCAUUUUGGCAGGAAGAAGGGGUUAGAUUCUUCCAUAGUGUUUCUUCAUUUUGAAGUUCUCUAUUUUGGUAACACAGGACAUUAGUUCAUCAUACCAGAUACUAAGAAAUUUUUUAACUUAUGCACAAUGGCUAGAUUUGAGCAACUGAAAAAUGCAGACAACAAAGAGCUAUAAGACAAUUUCUUAUGUACAAAACUAACAACCUUGGCUUCAAAGUGAGCCCCUUGCUGAAUGCAAGAUUUAGUUUUCUCCUAGGUAGGGUAUUAUCUGUGAAUCUAUUGAAAAGUGGAUAGACUCAAUUCUUUCCACAAAGAGUUGGAUUAUACUGUAGAGGAGACAUUUGCAAUAUUUGGCACCUGAGCAUUUAUUUCUUUGUCAUUCCUUCUCUACCAUAUCCAUUUCCUUGUCUUAUAAAAUACAAGUUGACUCCUCUCUGUGGGACUUUUUUUUUUCUACUUGAGAAAAGGAAUCAUAUUUGAAGUGAUUCAUUGCAUGCUUACACACCCUCCUCCCACGAAAGGAUUGAAAAUGACUGAGUAUCAUGAAAAACACAUUUUUAAAACCUUUUCAAAUGUUUUGACUUGUAACAUUAUGUUUUCACCUCCUACCUGAUUAUCCAUUAUCAUGUUGACAGGGAAAAUUGUGUUCUCUUUUGUGAUCUUCUCUCUUAAAAUGAGUAUGAAGAGUAAAGACCACCUGUUGCCAUUUAGAAGUAUAGUUUUUCUCUAAAUCCACUUGACAUUUAAGUCUUCACAUCUGCUACUUUGUGAUAACAUUUCCCUUCAUAGAUCAUGUGGUUUCUAAAAUGGUGUCAUGUGAGUCAAAAUCUAGCCAGGAAUGGUUUUUAAAAUUCCUAAGCUUAAUGUUGUUUUAGGAUUUCAUCCCCUGUAGGAAAAAGUGUGCAUUGUGAUAAAAUCACACUCUUAUCUAAAAUAUGUGAAGCACAUUUCUUCUCUUGUGCCCACUCUGAUCAGUUGGAAAUAAGUGCAUGAACUCCACCAACUUCCAAGUGGAGCUUGACUGUUCAUAGUUGUCCAAAUAAAAAAAUCCUCACUGAUUUGGAUUACCUAUUGUAGGUAAGAGAUUGGGCAGUAUUCUAUAAUGAUCAUUCCUCUUCUUUUUGUUUUGUUUUGCUUUUUUUAGGGCCACAGCCAUGGCAUAUGGAAGUUCCCAGGCUAGGGGUUGAACUGGAGCUGCAUCUGCCAACCUAUACCACAGCAACAGAAACUCAGGAUCUGAGCCAUGUCUGCAACCUACAUCACAGCUCAGGGCAUCACUGGAUCCCUGAUCCACUGAGCAAAGCAGGGAUCAAACCCGCAUCCUAAUGGAUACUAGUUGGAUGUGUUUCCACCGUGCUACAAUGGGAACUCCUGGCCAUUCCUUUUUUAGAGGCUUCUUAUAGGUGAGAAAAGGCUAUCAUUUCUGUCCCAAGUACACUUACCGUCUGGCUGAGACAGCAGGGUAGCCAUUGGCAUCUGGCAACAAACUUCUACCAAUCUGUUCUCCCCUUCCCCUCAUCUUUUAGUGACUGGUAUUUCAUCCAUUUGGGCUUUCCUAACAAAGAGGAACAAUUCCUGGCCCUCAUUAAAAAGCCCAGUCAGUGUGAUGUGUGCUUGUCAAGGUAAACAUUUAUCCUCAAACCUCCUCUCUGGGUCUCAGGGGGCUCUUAAUCAUCAAAGAGAUUCAGGUUGCAGAAAUAUUUGCUCUUGGUGCAUUUUCAGAAGGUGGGAUAAUUCCAUGGGCUGCAAAUGAAGAUAAGAAGUGGGUUGCAGACUGGGCAGCAGUUGCUAGUAGAUAAGAACAUGUUAUUCCAUGCCAGAGGUUAAUGGGAAUUAUCAGUGUGGUGGUGAUUUUUCCAGUUGUUUGUCCUCAUUUUGACAGAAGACAUGGCCUGAGACAAACACAGGAUCUUAUUUCCAAGAACACCUGUCGCUCAUGGAUCAAAUGUAAGAGAUACCUCUUGGGGACUCCUUCUAUCCCAAUGCCCCAUGUCUCUCUGUCAUAUUCCAUCUACAUUCCUGGCAUAAGCUUUCCUCUGGCUGCCUUCAUUUGCCAAAUGGCUAAUCUCCUCUUUGCUGCAUGUUGUUUUCUUUCAGAGCUUUAGAAUUGUUUCUGUAUUUUUGUUCCUUCUCUCUUGUUUCUGAGAAGGGUAUAUAAAUAACAAAAACAUUUCUAGUCAACACAAAUAUCUCUGUCAGCUUUAGUAGAGGGCUCUCGGUAAUAAUAAUCCAUGAAAGAAUCAAAGUUAAAGUUUAUUUUUGUAUUUGUUUUUAGGAUGCAGUCAAUCAGACACAUAUAAAAGCAUCUACUGAGUAUCCAGGUCUCCUCCCUCUCCAUGGCUGAUGUCUGCAUGUGAGUCCAAAUGCAGGGAAGCCCACUCCCUGCAAUUUUAAAUGAUUUGGAUCCAGUGACUAAAUGACUAACAUUAGUUUUCAGAUAAUUUUUUUCCUUCUGCUUAUCUGAAUAGCUAAAAAUGGGUUUUAUUAUUUUAAAAAUGAGAAUAUUUAGGGGAUCAGUUUAUAACAUGACAGGUACCAUUCACCAGCCAAGAGAAAGCAAUUUACCAUAAUGAAGUUAUUUCACCUGGAAGAAAGAAGGGGCUUCUUGAAAAAAUAAAGACUUCUUGGCUCUGUUAAGAAGGCAUUGUGGAGUUGUUAUCUACUGUAAUAAUAUCAUAUCCCACUUAGUGGGUGCUUACCAUGAGCCAAACAUUGAACUAAUUUUGUAUGCAUGCUUGCUCCUAUUUAAUCCCUAUGGAAAAUUCCUGAGGCAGGUACACAUCUGCAUUUGAUGGGUAAGGAUACUGACUUAGGGUGAUGAAGUACCUUGCCUGAGGUCACUGCUAAGGAGAAACUGAACUAGGUCUUUCUGCUUCCACACUUGUGUUUUUCCUGCCUUCCCAUAAAGCAACAGAUUUUGUUCUUCAAACAGUGCCAAAAAAUAUUUUUCCAGUUUUUGCAUUUUCAGUCCUUCUCAUUUUUCCAAGACUUGCCAGAGAUCUUAAAUAUAAGGGUCCUUAACAAAAAUGGGCCCUUGCUGAAAAGGCUGUUGAGUCCAUGCAUCCCUCCUGCCUCCUAACCCAGCGCUCUUUCAGUUUCAACACUCUCUUUCUGGAGGCUGGUGACAGGAAGUCAAGCAAUGGCAAGCCAUUUUCAUAAGUCCUUUCUUCAUUUACCCCCACUUUUCCUUCCCUUCCACAGUCCCUCCUCUUUUGUCGCUCUACUCAUUUUCAGGGAGUGUGUCCCUCCUUGACAUUUUAUUGAAUAUUUAUUUGCUCUCUGUUUAUUCUGUUUCCCCAUAAUAGAACACCUGCCUUAGGAGAAGAGAGACUUUGCUUCACUCUCUGUGUCCUCUGGACCUAGAAGAGUGUCUGAGCCUAGCGAGCCCCUAAUAAAUAUCUGGGGGAUGAAUGAAUGAGGACAUAGACCUAGUUAGUUGAUCUCAUUUCCUUGGCUCACUGGUGCGUGAAACUUAGCAAAACCCCUUCUCCUUCACAUACUAUAUAUGAAGAACUUGGACACUUUUUUAAUGUACUCUAGAGCAGUUUUUUUUUUCUUUAUAAAAUGAUUUAAUACAUCAUUAAUAUAGUAAUGUUUUAUAUUCAGGACACAUCUGUCCACAAGCUCCAUCCUUUUGAAAGCAUUAGCCAAUUUGAAAUUAAAUACAUUUCAGCAAUAUUGCUCUAAUUUAUCAUGCCACAUCAUAGAACUUGAAAACAUUUGAUGUUUCUCCUCUGCCCUAUCAAU
rnacentral:lncRNA from 1 species